rnacentral:rRNA from 1 species
CCUACGGGAGGCAGCAGUGAGGAAUAUUGGUCAAUGGCCGGAAGGCUGAACCAGCCAUGCCGCGUGAAGGUCAGUGCCCUAUGGGCGUUAAACUUCUUUUGUGCGGGAGCAAUAAUGGUCACGUGUGGCCAGACGAGAGUACCGUACGAAUAAGCAUCGGCUAACUCCGUGCCAGCAGCCGCGGUAAUACGGGGGAUGCAAGGGUUAUCCGGAUUUAUUGGGUUUAAAGGGUGCGUAGGCUGUGAGGUAAGUCAGCGGUGAAAUGCCCCCGCUCAACGGGGUGAAGUGCCAUUGAUACUGCCUGGCUGGAAUGCGGAUGCGGUGGGAGGAAUGUGUGGUGUAGCGGUGAAAUGCAUAGAUAUCACACAGAACACCGAUUGCGAAGGCAUCUCACGAAUCCGCGAUUGACGCUGAUGCACGAAAGCGUGGGUAUCAAACAGGAUUAGAUACCCCUGUAGUC